AAAAUACCAUAGUCAGAUUGGUAUUGUGCAAUAUCUGUGCUUAUGGAUAAUUUUGUUGAUGUGCCAGUGUAGGUGAAUUUUAUACACUGAGUUGCUUAAGUAUUUUGUACGUCAUCACACUACAUGCAUCAAGUAGGUACUAUCUGCAAAUAGUAAUUGUACAUCAGUACGUGCAUAUUGCAUUGUUUGUUGCUUCACCGUAUUGAUUGUCAUACAUGUACAUAUCUUUAAAAAGUUAUGUUCAUGUAUGUUUGAGUAUAGAUCUAUAUAUAGGACAAAAUAUGUGUUGUGUGGGGCACUGACACUGAUCAUCACAUAAGGAUUUAGACAAUAACUACUUCAGAUACCACAGAUGUCACAAAGACCAUGCAAGAGGUGUGCUCCUAAUCUGAAAUUUGUGUUUGUUUCUCUGGAGAGGUGCUAUUGAUGUUUUUCUGUUUUGCUAAUACUGACUGAUGCAGUAUAUCGAUCACAAUUUUUCAGAUUACAGGGAUAGCAUAUAAAGUGGCUGAUGUCGCUUCAAUAACCGCCCAGGGUAAGAAGGAGGUUGAUGCAUGCUUUGACAUGAAGAACACUCUUGUUCAGAAGAAGUAGUUGGUCGCCAACUACUGGAAGCAGGUCAGCAAGAUCAAUGACUACUAGAAGAGCUGGUUCAACACUAUGUUCAACACUGUUGCGACCAUGUUGCGACCAUAGAGAUUGUAGCGGUUGGCUUUACAAUCACAAGAGAAGAGAGCAGCAAACUUAAUUGCAAGAGAAUUCAUGCCAUGAUAAGUUUUACAGUGAUACAAAGCCUAUCAAAGUAUUAUAUUUAUUCGUGCUAUGAAAUAUUUUGUCAUUUCCUCUCUGUUUCUUGACAGCGAUGUCAUGUCAUUUCCUACAAUAAAUUGAAUGCCAUUAAAACCAUUUUUUGUCCUGCAGGCUGCAACUCCCUUCCUAUUAAAAAUAUGUACUUUAGCUUCCUUUGUGUUUGUUACAUAUGCUUGGUUGGAUGAAAUUUAUGCCGGUCUAUGUUUGUAUUUUUUUUCCUCAAGUCCACUAGGUAAUCCCCGAGAUCGAAAUGUGGCUUGCACACUAUGUGACGACUGGUUCGGAAUACACUGGUUCCUUGCUAAGUAUCUACGCGAACUAUGGUUGGUUAAUGAUCAAAGGAGGCGCUCUGGGAUGUGCUGAAGGUGUUUCAUAGUUCAGUAAGUAUGUAACCUUGCAACUUCUUUCCAGAACCAAAGUGCAUGCUUGCAAUGCCCAUACUUAAAUUAUUUGGUAGAGAAAGCUUCAGAGUGGUUACAAUAAGCCCAUGUUGACUGUCACCGGGAAGUGCAUAUUUAAUUCUUCCAAUAGUUACUAUUGCCUUGGAUGUUGGCCUUCCAACCCUUACUCUUGUUGUUUGUCA